GAUAUGUAUCAGGAAGAGCGUUGCCCACGGGGCGAGGUAGAGGAUCCUGUCCUCCAGCUCUAGUGAGCCCACAUCUGGUGUGUUCUGUCCAGGACAGCAAAAACAUGGAGCUCCUGGAGCGGGUCCAGCGAAGGGCAGUGAAUGAAAAUGAUUAGACUUGGUGACCGCCGCCGUGAUCUGAUUUGGAUUUCCGGAGGAUCCUCGUCCCCCAGAAGGGAGGCGCCCCACUAACCUCUUAGCGGCCCGACUGGACCAGGAGGGGGAAUCCCACAAAACCAAUCAGAUUCAGAACACUAAAAAGAAAAGCCACGAUCUAGGAAAAAAUGGGCCCGUUGCUUAAGCUCUCAGGAUAUUGGAGACGAGCUCUCCAAAACCGCGGCUAAUUCUUUUCACUUGUAAAAAUCUACGUGCACGAAGAGUCCACGCAAGAACAGGAAUCCACAGGACAAGAAGUCGAAUUAUUCCCGAGAUAUUGAGAGCUGGACCAUCUUUCAUCAGAUAGCAUUCUCCUGGACCGGAGAAGCUUUUGGGACUCACUUGAUUAAGAAAAGGACAAAGGACAUCCUGGCCUGCUGCAAGAAAAAGAGUAUAAAACCUGAACUCGAGAUCGCUAUGGUGUGCCG